rnacentral:rRNA from 1 species
UACGUAGGGUCCGAGCGUUGUCCGGAAUUACUGGGCGUAAAGAGCUCGUAGGUGGUUUGUCGCGUUGUCCGUGAAAACUCACAGCUCAACUGUGGGCGUGCGGGCGAUACGGGCAGACUGGAGUACUGCAGGGGAGACUGGAAUUCCUGGUGUAGCGGUGGAAUGCGCAGGUAUCAGGAGGAACACCGGUGGCGAAGGCGGGUCUCUGGGCCGAGACUGACGCUGAGGAGCGAAAGCGUGGGGAGCGAACAGG